AUCUUAAAACUAAAUUAUCUAAAAACAGCAACGGACGGCUUGAUUGUUGAUAUUUGUGGAAAGCGCUAUCUUCUAGGGAAAAAUGAGACAACAUAUCGCGAGGGUGCAUCUUGGUGUUGCAAAUAUGGACUAAAUCUCGUUUCGUUUGAAACUGUUAACGAGCUAAAAUGUUUGGUGUCAUCUCCCUUAGGAGGACGAGCCAGGCCGAUGAAAAUAUGGACUUCGGCAUGUAGAAUUGGGGCUUCAUCGUUAAAUGGCUUCCGUUGGUGCACUUCAAAUGCGAAAUAUAAUGUUUCUAUGUGGGCAUGGCUUCAUCCAAUGUCCGUCUACUACACACACACUGUAAUGACAUUGUAUCUCCAAAAUACAUUUGCCGCAAGUUAUUUUAAUGUGGAUUUUGAUAACGCUUCCAUUAAUAUUCCUUUGUGUGAGGAUCAACCGUUGUAAAUUGAAAGAUUUACCGCUUUCAAUUUGGAUUUAACCUGCUUGAAAUCACAUGCAAAACAUUGUUGGUUAAAGCGUUUUUUAUUGUUGAAACACUCACGACGAGCGCGAAUUACUUUUCAUCACGAGGAGUGAAAUAUUGGCGGACUACAUUACACAUAUUACAAUGUCAGUUGUUGAAAGUGGUUUGCAAUUUAAAUAUAAAAAAUAUUCCAUGCACAGUGUUAUAUUGUUUUUUCUAUGACGUGUGCUUUAUCAAAACAAUAUGUGACAAAACUCACAAAACUUUUGUUGUACAAAUUCCAUGAGAUAUAUUUUAGAUCUUGAAUAUAUUAUAUGUUUAAAAUUUUAAAUAAAUGCAGUGGAAUGAAAAGAGUUUGAAAUUAUGUGUUAAUUUAUAUGUCUCCCAAAGUGUCGGAAACAGAAGAGCUUAUUUCGUAGAGUGAAUAAUUAUGGGAUCUACAUUGCACAAAUUUAUUUAUUUUGGUCGCUUGGAUU